rnacentral:rRNA from 1 species
CGCGUAGGCGGACUUUUAAGUCGGGGGUGAAAGCCCAGGGCUCAACCCUGGAAUUGCCUUCGAUACUGAGAGUCUUGAGUUCGGAAGAGGUUGGUGGAACUGCGAGUGUAGAGGUGAAAUUCGUAGAUAUUCGCAAGAACACCAGUGGCGAAGGCGGCCAACUGGUCCGAUACUGACGCUGAGGCGCGAAAGCGUGGGGAGCAAACAG